rfam:Picea glauca, whole genome shotgun sequence.
AGUGCGGUUUUUUUUAAAACCACAUAACUUUUCGAGAUAUUUUCAUU